rnacentral:rRNA from 1 species
UGCGUCAGUUAGACUACAUGGAUCACGUUGCUGUUAUCUGUAGCGACGCUUGUUAUUCUUCAUUUCUCCAUAAAUUGUGCAUCACUUGUGUGGAUCCUCUGUCCGAGUUCAUCUCAGACGAUUGGGACUGCUUUGCAAAGUUACUAUUUGCGGGGCUUUCCUUGUAUCUACAUGUAUUUUCACAUACACCCAAUAUUAGAAGGAAAAUAUUUUUGAAUUGUUAUACAACUUUCAGCAACGGAUCUCUUGGCUCUCGCAUCGAUGAAGAACGCAGCGAAAUGCGAUAAGUAAUGUGAAUUGCAGAAUUCAGUGAAUCAUCGAAUCUUUGAACGCAUCUUGCGCUCCUUGGUAUUCUGAGGAGCAUGCCUGUUUGAGUGUCAUUUUAAUAUCUCAACCACAUUCAUUUUGUGGCUUGGACUUGGAGGAACAAUGCAGGCUCUGACUUCUCGUAGUCUGCUCCUCUGAAAAACAUGAGUGGUACCUAUAUUGGAACUCUGGCUAGGUGUGAUACAUAUCUGCAUCUAAUCGAGGUUGCCUGUCGGGUUAUGCUGCUGAUUUAUUAUGACUUGAUAAACUUGACCUCAAAUCAGGUAGGACCACCCGCUGAACUUAAGCAUAUCAAUAAGCGGAGGAAAAGAAACUAACAAGGAUUCCCUUAGUAACUGCGAGUGAAGAGGGAAAAGCUCAAAUUUGUAAUCUGGCGGUCUUUGGCCGUCCGAGUUGUAAUCUAAAGAAGUGCUACCUGCGCUGGACCGUGUAAAAGUCUCCUGA